UACGUAGGGUCCGAGCGUUGUCCGGAAUUAUUGGGCGUAAAGAGCUCGUAGGCGGUUUGUCGCGUCUGCUGUGAAAUCCCGAGGCUCAACCUCGGGCCUGCAGUGGGUACGGGCAGACUGGAGUGCGGUAGGGGAGAAUGGAAUUCCUGGUGUAGCGGUGGAAUGCGCAGAUAUCAGGAGGAACACCGAUGGCGAAGGCAGCUCGCUGGGACGGUACUGACGCUGAGGCGCGAAAGCGUGGGGAGCGAACAGG
rnacentral:rRNA from 1 species